GGCUCGUUGGUCUAGGGGUAUGAUUUUCACUUAUGAUGCAAGAGGUCCCGGGUUCAAAUCCAGAACGAGCCC